UACAGAGGGUGCGAGCGUUAAUCGGAAUUACUGGGCGUAAAGCGCGCGUAGGCGGCUUUGCAAGUCGGGUGUGAAAUCCCCAGGCUUAACCUGGGAACUGCAUUCGAGACUGCAUUGCUAGAGUAUGGGAGAGGGAAGUGGAAUUUCCGGUGUAGCGGUGAAAUGCGUAGAUAUCGGAAGGAACAUCAGUGGCGAAAGCGACUUCUUGGACCAAUACUGACGCUCAUGUGCGAAAGCGUGGGGAGCAAACAGG
rnacentral:rRNA from 1 species